GUCCAGCUGACGAGUCCUAAAUAGGACGAAACGCGCGUCAAACUGGAU
rnacentral:hammerhead_ribozyme from 1 species